rnacentral:tRNA from 1 species
GAAAUAAUUUAAAAUUGAACUUCUAAUUCAAUAAUUAAUGAUAAAAUAUCAUUUUAUUUCU